rnacentral:rRNA from 1 species
AUUGAACGCUGGCGGCAGGCCUAACACAUGCAAGUCGAACGGUAACAGGAAACAGCUUGCUGUUUCGCUGACGAGUGGCGGACGGGUGAGUAAUGUCUGGGAAACUGCCUGAUGGAGGGGGAUAACUACUGGAAACGGUAGCUAAUACCGCAUAACGUCGCAAGACCAAAGAGGGGGACCUUCGGGCCUCUUGCCAUCGGAUGUGCCCAGAUGGGAUUAGCUAGUAGGUGGGGUAAAGGCUCACCUAGGCGACGAUCCCUAGCUGGUCUGAGAGGGUGACCAGCCCAACUGGAACUGAGCCACGGUCCAGACCCCUACGGGAGGCAGCAGUGGGAAAUAUUGCACAAUGGGCGCAAGCCUGAUGCAGCCAUGCCGCGUGUAUGAAGAAGGCCUUCGGGUUGUAAAGUACUUUCAGCGGGGAGGAAGGGAGUAAAGUUAAUACCUUUACUCAUUGACGUUACCCGAAGAAGAAGCACCGGCUAACUCCGU